rnacentral:tRNA from 1 species
UAGCCUAGUGUUUAAGGCUAUGGAUCGCCAAUCCGGAGAAGGCGGGUUCGAUUCCCGU